UUUUACUAGUUGUCGGAACAUCACAAGCAUAUCCGGUAAAUUUUUGAGGUUCAUGCCAAAAAUAGGCUCAGAAAUAUGUUUACUACAACGCUGAAGAAGGGGCAGAGGCUCUUUGAGUUGGUGUGGAAGUUCAGGCUACAAUAAACAAAGCAUGGGCCUCUAUGGAAUAGCAGAGAAAGAGAAAGACAAAUCAACAUAACCAGAUGACAAAGGGAGCCAGAGGGGCUGCACUCCACAUCAGAAGUUCGAUCCCCCACACAGGGCAUUAUUGGAGAUUAAAACUUGACGGAGAGACAUCCGCUGCAGAGUUGCACAUCCUCACACAUCAAUGCAUGGGCACACAACUAAAGAGUACGAGCAGCUCCGGGAGAGACAGAGGGAGAUGACUAGCAAGACCUCGCUAUUCGUCAGCAGCAGUGGUAGUCAGUCCACGAUUGUUUAGUCUGAUUUUGAGUUGUGAAUGCAAUUAACGGGGAAGAAGAAGAGGAGAGUGUACAACUUAGAAGCUAAGGGGAUAGCAUUUAAGGUUAAGCACUUCCGUGCAGCUAUGGGUGACCCUAGCUCGUUACAGGCUCAACAUGAGGAGCUUACCAGGCUGGCCAUGAUGAUGAAAGAAUAGCUCUGAUAGAUGUGUAAAGACCAACAAAUGGUUGGAAAUAGUCUAGCAUGACUGAUGAAGAGCUUUGAUUGCUAGGGCAACUGACAUAUGAGGGUUGUCGAGGAGGAUGAGGAGGAGAAGGAGUAGGAUCAUUAUAAGGAGAAAGAUUAUGAUUUUUAUUUUGUGUUGGAUGAUGUUCCCUCGACAU